CUAGGUACUCUGCUGACAUAAUCUAAUGUUUUGCUUUCGUUGUAAACCCUUUUUGAAAUCGGAUAAUGUGGUUAGAUUAACGAGAGUCUUGUCUUUAAAAUGGUGUAAAAUAGUCAUAUGUUUGAGAAAUUGAAGUAAUAGCAUUUCUAAGGUAUUUGAAUAUCGCGCCACUCGAUUUCACUGGCUGUUGACUAGGUGGGACGAUUUCGUCCCACAUACCCUAGAGAGGUUAACCAGGGACUGAUUUAGACCUGGGACGUCAUGUCAUUAUUCCCUUCUAAUCAGGGGCUGAUUUAGACCCGGGACAUCAGGUCAUUAUUCCCCUUUAACCAGGGACUGAUUUAGACCUGGGACGUCAUGUCAUUAUUCCCCUCUAAUCAGGGGCUGAUUUAGACCAGAGGUGUGUGUGUGUGAGUGUGUGUGUGUGUGUGUGUGUAACAGAGUCUGUCAGAGGAGUGUGUGUGUGACAGAGUCUGUCAGAGGAGUGUGUGUGUGUAACAGAGUCUGUCAGAGGUGUGUGUGUGUGUGUGUGUGUGUGUGUGUGUGUGUGAGUGUGUGUGUGUGCCCUUCUACUUGACAGUGAAAAUGCAAUGCUUCUUUCAGUCCGAGUAUGAAAGCCAUCCUGUUUUCUUGAACACCUUGUUUGUUUAAGGCCAAGAAAACUACAGGGAAACACUCAGGGUGGCAUUCAUACUCAGACUGAAAGAAGCAUUUUAUUUUCACUUUUAUUUAACAUCGAUACUAACAUAACAGGUUAUAAUACACUAGGUAUGCAUGCACACAAACAUCUCAGCACUCCCUUCAGCAACUUGCCCAAGCCCCCCCACCCCGCUUCUCCUUCACCCAAAUCCAGACAGACCUGGCUACCCCAACCCCAGUCAGCAGCUCUGCACCCCCCACAGCAACUUGCCCAAGCCCCCCAUUUCUCCUUCACCCAAAUCCAGAUAGCUGAUGUUCUGAAAGAGCUGCAAAAUCUGGACCCAUACAAAUCAGCCGGGCUAGACAAUCUGGAACCUCUCUUUCUAAAAUUAUCUGCCGAAAUUGUUGUAACUCCUAUUACUAGCCUGUUCAACUUCUCUUUCGUAUCGUCUGAGAUUCCCAAAGAUUGGAAAGCUGCCGCGGUCAAACUGCUACAGACCUAUAUCUAUCCUACCCUGCCUUUCUAAAGUCUUCGAAAGCCAAGUUAACAAACAGAUCACCGACCAUUUCGAAUCCCACCGUACCUUCUCCGCUGUGAAAUCUGGUUUACGAGCUGGUCAUUGGUGCACCUCAGCCACGCUCAAGGUCCUAAACAAUAACAUAUCCACCAUCGAUAAAAGACAGUACUGUGCAGCCGUAUUCAUCGACCUGGCCAAGGCUUUCGACUCUGUCAAUCACCGCAUUCUAAUCGUCAUACUCAAUAGCCUUGGUUUCUCAAAUGACUGCCUCGCCUUGAUCACCAACUAUUUCUCUGAUAGAGUUCAGUGUGUCGAAUCGGAGGGCCUGUUAUCUGGACCUCUGGCAGUCUCUGGGUGGGUGCCACAGGGUUCAAUUCUCGGGCCAAGUCUCUUCUCUGUAUACA
rnacentral:lncRNA from 1 species